CUGAGAGGAUGACAGCGCGUUGUUGUCUUCAGUUCUUGCUCAUCAGAGGGCUGUGCAAAAUACCCUUACGUGUCAUAGGGGCUUCUCAUACAUAUGUCCCGUCUCGCACACAACCUUCCUCCGUCAAAAAACGUCACUGUGUGGUGAGAAAAAAUGGGGAUUCGCUCAGCCUACAGUUGCGUGCGCGACUUCCAUUUACCCGCCUCUGGAUGAAGACGAUUGGACCGAAGCGCGUGAUCUCAGUUCCUGCAAAAGAUCUUCUGUGAUGAUGCAUGAGGAUUGGCUGCUAUAAUUGUCCAAAUGAAACAUUAGUUCUCACAGAAAACACUCCACAUUCACCUCUCACAGAUAAGGUCAGUGACUGCUUUUGUGUUGUUCGUUCCCCGUCAUCAUCGCUAAUGUGCCACUUACUUCACACAACAGUAUGAACUAUAUGAAAACAGACAAAAAUGGCAAUCAGAAAAGCACAGCUUAUAACUACAGAAAUAUGAAUGUUUUAUUACUGUGUUUGUAACAGUUUUGAAUGUGUUUUCCAGAUGGAAAACCUAAAGUCCAGGUGCAUAGAAGUAGAGCACAGUGUGUUUCUGUGUGUGUGUAUGUGCCUGUGUGAGACCAUUUGUGAGAGCGUGUGCGCAUGCAAGUGAGUGUUUACGGCUAUUCUUCUCUAUGUAGACGUAGAAAAGUUUUGUCUCAUGCAAAGACAUUUCCUUUCACCCAUGCAGCUCCUCUUGGGGAUCUCGUCAUCUGAAAAUGCUGCAUUGCACUGUGAAGUACGUCACAGAAACACAAGCACGUCUACUCAUACUGUACACACAGGCUUGCAUGCAGAUGGACCAUGCAGAAAAGGAGACGCAGUAAAUAUAUGAUAUCCGAGGGCCAGCCUUCAUGCUGGUGUUUAUCUGCUGGCUGAGAUAGGGUCUUGAGCUGCAGAGAUACACCCACUCUGCAGAUUAGCUCCCCAGAACUGGCUGUCUGCCUGCCUGCAAGCCUCAGCUACUGAUAAUGGGGAACUGCAGUGUUGGUGUGCCUCUCAUACACAGACGUGCCAGCUUAGCAGCUUAUCAAGUCCUUUUUCAUGUGCUAUGUAAUGAUUAAACCACUACGCUUUAUGGAAGGUUUACUUCCUGUCUUGACACAGCACAAGGUAUGUCCAAUCCUCUAUUAAAGUAUUCCAUUCGAAACAGAUACUGUAUAUUUUGGAUUAUUAUACAGCUUUGAAUAAAAAAGAAUUGCUGUGUCAUUUUGAAACUUAGCAAUAUAUGUUCUAAAGCGCUUUUAAGUUUCUUUUAUUCAUUUUUCUUAAUUCUGCUUGUUUUCUCUCGUCUUCACUGAGGCUUUAGGUUGGUUAUCUGUUUGAUCUGUGGGCAACUAAACUCUGGGACAUUUUAUGGAAAGCCUGUGAAAAGAAUAUUUGAUCUGAUUUGUGCAUGAAGAUAUAAGAUUAAUAAAGAUACAAAAUAUUUGAGAUAGACUGCUGAUAGCUACUGUUAUGAUUCACUUAUUUAUAGACAAGGUGCACUAAUGUAUAAAAAAUAUAGAACUUCUUUAUUGGAAAUAGAUGAAAGUGCAACAAAUAGGAACUCACUUGUAUCUUAGCCAGGUGGCUACAGUGAAAAACAGUAUGAUACAGUACAAAAACAACUACAACAUUGUGUUAAACAACAGUUACAUAAAUUAUAGUACAAAACUGUACACAGUCUUACAGUAUUUACACAUGGUGUAUUCGUCAAAUGCCGAAUUUCUAUUUUUCCUACCUUUUCUCUUUAAAUAAA